CAAAUGUUUUUAAUGAUUAUAAUAAUAUAGAACUAUGCAAUGUGAAUGUGGAUUUUUUCUCUGCAGAAAUACAGGAUGUAUUUACUUAAGGAAAUCCUGUCCCAGAUCUCUCUGCUGCUUCACAUCAUCUCUUUAGAUUGGGUUCUUCCAGGAAAUACUACUCCCAGCUGUUGUUGCAGAAGUGAACUAAACAAAAUCCAAAGAAGUGCUAAAGGAACAGCCAUAAAACUCCAACUGCAUUUGGCACGCAUCUCCUUUGGUGCUGUUUAUCACAGAAGUGGUUGGAAGCGAAACUCUACGCUUGUGAACAUGAUGAUUUUGUGCUCCUGGCAUCUCACACCUUGGGAAUUGCUCUGCCAAAAUGAAACAAGCUCCCAGACCCCUCAGGAGGCUGCUGCCAAGAACCUGGGAAUACUUCUGUGGUGGGAAGAGGGCUGGCUAUCUACUCCAUGUCUUUGGUCACUGACUUGAUACCCAAGUGGAGACCAGUGAUGAGUGGAAUUCCUUGGAGGUCAGU
rnacentral:lncRNA from 1 species